rnacentral:rRNA from 1 species
GGUGAACGCUGGCGGCGUGCCUAAUACAUGCAAGUCGAGCGGUAAGGCCUCUUCGGAGGUACACGAGCGGCGGACGGCUGAGUAACACGUAGGAACGUACCCCAACGUGAGGAAUAAGCACCAGAAAUGGUGUCUAAUACCGCAUGUGCUCUAAGGCGUAAAGCUUCGGCGCUUUGGGAACGGCCUGCGCAUGAUUAGCUUGUUGGUGAGGUAAAAGCUCACCAAGGCGACGAUCAUUAGCUGGUCUGAGAGGAUGAUCAGCCAGACUGGGACUGAGACACGGCCCAGACUCCUACGGGAGGCAGCAGUAGGGAAUUUUCCACAAUGGGCGAAAGCCUGAUGGAGCAACGCCGCGUGCAGGAUGAAUGCCUUCGGGUUGUAAACUGCUUUUAUAUGUGACGAUUAUGACGGUAGCAUAUGAAUAAGGAUCGGCUAACUCCGUGCCAGCCGCCGCAGUAA